rnacentral:rRNA from 1 species
CUUCGGAUCGUAAAGCCCUGUCGGAAGAGACGAAAAAUAGAGUGGCUAACAUCCACUUUACUUGACGGUACCUUCAAAGGAAGCACCGGCUAACUACGUGC